rnacentral:rRNA from 1 species
AGAGUUUGAUCCUGGCUCAGGACGAACGCUGGCGGCGUGCUUAACACAUGCAAGUCGAACGCUGAAGCUCAGCUUUUGUUGGGUGGAUGAGUGGCGAACGGGUGAGUAACACGUGAGUAACCUGCCCUCUUCUUUGGGAUAACGCCCGGAAACGGGUGCUAAUACUGGAUAUUCACUGAUCUUCGCAUGGGGGUUGGUGGAAAGGUUUUUUCUGGUGGGGGAUGGGCUCGCGGCCUAUCAGCUUGUUGGUGGGGUGAUGGCCUACCAAGGCUUUGACGGGUAGCCGGCCUGAGAGGGUGGACGGUCACACUGGGACUGAGAUACGGCCCAGACUCCUACGGGAGGCAGCAGUGGGGAAUAUUGCACAAUGGGCGAAAGCCUGAUGCAGCGACGCCGCGUGAGGGAUGGAGGCCUUCGGGUUGUAAACCUCUUUCGCUCAUGGUCAAGCCGCAACUGUGGGUUGUGGUGAGGGUAGUGGGUAAAGAAGCGCCGGCUAACUACGUGCCAGCAGCCGCGGUAAUACGUAGGGCGCGAGCGUUGUCCGGAAUUAUUGGGCGUAAAGGGCUUGUAGGCGGUUGGUCGCGUCUGCCGUGAAAUCCUCUGGCUUAACUGGGGGCGUGCGGUGGGUACGGGCUGACUUGAGUGCGGUAGGGGAGACUGGAACUCCUGGUGUAGCGGUGGAAUGCGCAGAUAUCAGGAAGAACACCGAUGGCGAAGGCAGGUUACUGGGCCGUUACUGACGCUGAGGAGCGAAAGCGUGGGGAGCGAACAGGAUUAGAUACCCUGGUAGUCCACGCCGUAAACGUUGGGCACUAGGUGUGAGGCUCCUUUCCGGGGGUUUUGCGCCGUAGCUAACGCAUUAAGUGCCCCGCCUGGGGAGUACGGCCGCAAGGCUA